rnacentral:lncRNA from 1 species
CCCUGUCUCCAGUGGGCGUCUUGGGCCCCGGCUCUAUUCUGGGCUGCGGGCCUGGGAAGGGCUCGCCGGGUGCCAAAUGAGCUGUCCUAACUCUGCGGGGCUGCAGCUUCCUGCAUGAUGCUGGGGAGCUUGGCGCCUGACCCAGGAUCUAGAAGGCACUCUGGGCAGGCCGCGCUCCGCCCACGAAGGUACCCAACCCUCUGGGAUAGAUGCAGGAAGCGAUGGUUAAGACCCAUUUUCACCCAACUUCUCGCCGCAGGUCUGGCUUACCACACGCUCCUCCCCAUUCCCAGUGAGCCGCUUUUUGCAGCACCAGGCGAACACUUACACCAGUGCUUUGUAAAGGAAUCUUAUUGUCCACCCCGUGUCUUGGCAAAAGAACAGUGAUCACACAGAUUCCUACUUGGGCUCUUUCCUUUAAUCUUCGGAGGCUGAGUUUGCCCAACUCAGGGUUUAACCACCAAGGACUCUGAGAGCUGGCAGGUCUGAGUAACCCUGGUAACAAUUCUCUUCACCUUAUCAAAACCUGAGCUAAAACCAAUGCAUCAGCUGAUGAUGACAGCAGAGAGUGGCAGGGCUGAGGACCCAAAGUCAUUUCCCAGGCUGGCGGAGAGAUAAACUGCCAGGGAGAAGAAUGAGAAGACAGGAGACAAACUGUUUGGAAAGCUAAAUCUUCCCUCUUAAUGAAUAAAGGUUUUUGCCUUGUCUUAAAG